rnacentral:tRNA from 1 species
UCCCUUGUGGCUCAGACAGUAAAAGCGUCUGUCAGACAAUGCAGGAGACCUGGGUUCGAUCCCUGGUUAGGGAA